GACCCCUGCUGGUUAAAAUGGUGGUGCAAGUUCCCAGCUGCAAAGAGAGCAGAGCCGACAAACUGAUGGGACAGCCACUCGAGAGACACGGGAGGCAUGUCGAAGUCAGAGAACAAUCGAAUUCCUGGAGAGGCUGAAAGAAGAGAGAGCUGGUUUAGUGAAAGACGAGACAGAGCGACAGAGAGACAAAGCAGAGAUGAGCUGCACAGUCUGUGUUUCAGGAUAAGCUAACAUUAUGAAGUUGCAACAAUCCGAGUAUCUACUGAAGCACAAAGAAAGAC